UAAAGUUUCAAAUAUAGUUGGAAAGCUCUUUGAGAUAUUAUUAGCUAAAAAUGGUGGCAACCAGGUGGCUCAGUGGAUUGAGAGCCAGGCCUAGAGAUAAGAGGUCCUGUAUUCAAAUGUCACCUCAAAUACUUCCUAGCUGUGUGAUCCUGGUCAAGUCAUUUAACUUACAUUGCCUACUCCUUAACACUCGUCUGCCUUGGAACCAAUACACAAUAUUGAUUCUAAGAGAGAAGAGAGGGGUUUGGGUUUUUUUAAGAUAUUAUUAAUGAAAAUCUUGGAAGGAAUUAUUUAAUAAAUACCUGAGAUCAAGAUAGAACCCUGAUGGACAUGAGAACAGCAAAAAUAAACGUAGAGGGGCAACUAGAUAGCACAGUGGUUAGAGUGCCAUACCUGGAGUCAGGGUGGGAGGAAUAGACCUAGAUAUAAAGCUGGCCUCAGACCCUUUCUAGUUGUGUGACCCUUGCCAAGUCACUUAAUAUCAGUUGCUUAGCCCUUUACACUCUUGUACCUUAGAAUCAAUUCUAAGACAGAAGGUAAGAGUUUAAAAAAUAAUACUAACCUUAGAGUACUUCCCAAUACAAAGAGAUAACAAGUAUAUAGAAAGAAAUCUACUGUAGACUUAUUUUUGAGACAGACAUUCAUAAAGGGACACAACAAAAUGGGAUGUAUUUGUGGGUUGCCUGCCCUACACUAGUUGUAUUAAAACGUUUAAUUUAUCUUUUAAUAAACAUUGUAGACUAUGUAUUCAAAGGAAGAGGGUCUUUCUAACUAGUUAUAUUGGGAUUUUUUAACACGCUCAAAAUAUUCCUGGGAAGUUCUUUCUCAACCAUUUUACUAGCAAUAGAACAAAAUGUCACAUUACUUCAUAGUUAUAUUUUUUUAAAACAGAAAUGCUAUUAUUCAGUUUGAUCAUCCAGCUUACUCACCAGACUUGGUUCCAAAUAACUUUUGGCUGUUUCAGAAAGUACAAUCUUUCCUCAGAGGACCAGUAUUUUGUACCAUAAGGAUAUUCCAAAGAGCUUAAUAGAAUCUCAGAGUUGGAAGGAAACAUAGAGGUCAUCUAGUUCACUCUGUUAUCUCCAUCAUGAUCCCCAUCGACAGCAUCCUCAACAAGUUUAAACUCUCCAGUCUCUCUCUGGAUAUAUUUCUCCCUUGCCAAAAACACUUGGAGCUCCAAACUACAGACAUUACCCCAGACCAAGCAAGAGGAAAUAAAGUUGGGUUAUCAUCUUGCCUUAG